ensembl:lncRNA
UUCAACUGCAGCCCCGCGGUGCGCGGCGAGGACGUUUCCACCAGCGACAGCCUGGCCUCCAAGGGUGCACCUGGUACCGCGCGGGUGUCCCGCGGCACACCCUCUGGGGGUGCGAGGGCUCUCGGUGGCCUCCACAGAGGACGUGAAGGGCCCGUUUCCCGGAACGGCCGUGCCGCUCAGCCGCUCAGCCGCGCGCGGGACUGGGAGCCGCUUCAUUGACUCGUCUGCCCGGAGGAUCCCGCUGCUUCCUCACAUGCCAAGAGCUCCUGCUUCUGAUUCGCCUCCCACGUGUCUCUUCCUGGCUCAUGCCAAUGGAGCUGUGCCGGUCCAGGCCCUCGGUUAGACUCCAGCAGUGGCUUCCCCGCUGGCCUGCAGGGGCCCGCUCUCUCCUCCCCAC